rnacentral:rRNA from 1 species
AUUGAACGCUGGCGGCAUGCCUUACACAUGCAAGUCGAACGGUAACGGGCCUUCGGGUGCCGACGAGUGGCGAACGGGUGAGUAAUACAUCGGAACGUGCCCGAUCGUGGGGGAUAACGAGGCGAAAGCUUUGCUAAUACCGCAUACGAUCUACGGAUGAAAGCAGGGGACCGCAAGGCCUUGCGCGGACGGAGCGGCCGAUGGCAGAUUAGGUAGUUGGUGGGAUAAAAGCUUACCAAGCCGACGAUCUGUAGCUGGUCUGAGAGGAUGAUCAGCCACACUGGGACUGAGACACGGCCCAGACUCCGGGAGGCAGCAGUGGGGAAUUUUGGACAAUGGGCGCAAGCCUGAUCCAGCCAUGCCGCGUGCAGGAUGAAGGCCUUCGGGUUGUAAACUGCUUUUGUACGGAACGAAAAGCCUUCUUUUAAUCCAGGAGGGUCAUGACGGUACCGUAAGAAUAAGCACCGGCUAACUACGUG